rnacentral:tRNA from 1 species
AGCCCCGUAGUGUAGCGGCCAAUCAUACCGGCCUUUGGCCUGUUUCCGCAUGGAAGCGGGAAGAAAGCCGGGGACCCCGGUUCGAAUCCGGGCGGGGCUA